GAUGAAGAACGCAGCGAAAUGCGAUAAGUAAUGCGAAUUGCAGAAUUCAGUGAAUCAUCGAAUCUUUGAACGCACAUUGCGCCCGCCAGUAUUCUGGCGGGCAUGCCUGUCCGAGCGUCAUUUCAACCCUCGAACCCCUCCGGGGGGUCGGCGUUGGGGAUCGGCCCUUUCACCGGGUGCCGGCCCCUAAAUACAGUGGCGGUCUCGCCGCAGCCUCUCAUGCGCAGUAGUUUGCACACUCGCACCGGGAGCGCGGCGCGUCCUCGUCCGUAAAACACCCCAAACUUCUGAAAUGUUGACCUCGGAUCAGGUAGGAAUACCCGCUGAACUUAAGCAUAUCAAUAAGCGGAGGA
rnacentral:misc_RNA from 1 species